GCGCCGGGGCGGGGCUCGCGAGGUGGCGGCCGCCCCGAGGGAGGGGGGUAUCGCGCCGCGGCCGCUCGGGAUCCGCGGGGCGCUGCGCGAGCGGGGAGCCGGCAGCAGGCGCAGUCCGGCGGCCGAGGCGCGCCCGUGCGGGGGGGCGCGGUGUCUCCUAGCGGCGGGCCGGGCCGUCCCUGAGGGGAGCGCGCUGCCCGUGUCCGCUCGCGUCGCUCCGUGCGUGAGCCGGAGCCUCCUCCCUGCUGGGCCGGUGCCCGUGUCGCCCGGAAGGUGUCGGGUGCUUUUGGGUCCCUGAUGAAGACUGGGAAUUCUACAAGCGAAUGUCGCUGUCGGCUGUGUCACGGCCAGCUAUAGAGAUGACGCCAGUGGGGCCACUUUAACGAUCAUCAUCACUUACUCUUGAUGGAGUAGUGCCUUCUGCCUACUGCCUUAAAAGCUCUGUGGGCCAUUGCACCUUUCCUGAUUCCAGGGAUUUCCAAAUCUUGCUUGGAUUUUAUGAAGAUAGCGCAGUCCUCUACCUUGCGAUGGUCCAAAAUUCAUGUUGAGAAGCAGUUAAAAAGGAACUAUGAGCAUGUGCUGGCAUGUACUCUUUUUAAUCAGCAGAAGUCUGUGUAUAAAGACAUCCUGACUCAGCCCAGGAAUUGAUAAAAACAUUCAGCCAAGACAAGCGAUUCUUCUGUGCUAUUCUUUCUUCCACACUCCUUCCACAGGUGUCCGCCAUGUGAAUGCAGAUACUGUUGUGUUCUAUGACACUGAUUUAGAUCUGCUGAUAGAUGCAAAAGCUAAAGAAUGGUGUGAUAAGACUGUGAGAGACAGAGAUAUCCACAUAUGCAGGCAUUGACUGAAGAACAAAUACACUUACAGCUACAGGAGCAGCAGCUGCAAGCUGAGGAACAAAAAAAUGGAGCAAAUCCAGUGUCAACUACAGGUAGAAACACAGGAACUUGCAGGCUUCAGGAAGUACACUGGCUCCAGCUAUAUUACAGCACAUGUCUGUAGUACCUGCCAUUCCAGCAGAGCUGGAGAGCCCGUAAUGCUGUCAGUUUUUUCGAGCAGAAGCAUCCGACAGCAUCAGCUGUAGCAACCAUCAGUCUGAUGACAGCUGUGCAGACAGGAUGCUUCUGAUGACUUAGCUUAUGUCAGAUUUAAUCACAAAAAGUUCCAGGAGCGAAGCCCUGAUGAUCUGGCUGAAGUGACCGCUUCAGGAGCGAUGAUCUAAAGGAAAUCAUUGUCACAGUCGUCCUGACAGCAGUCUGCAGGUGUAUGUCAGCCUCUGAAAAAUGAAGCUCAAGUACAACCCACGUGCCGGUGCUGGCGGACUCUUCAUUAGCUGAUGUUAAAAACGGUGAAAUAAAAACUGCUUUCUGUUAUGUAAAUGAAAA